GGAAGUAAAAGUCGUAACAAGGUCUCCGUUGGUGAACCAGCGGAGGGAUCAUUACAGAGCGUAAAAACUCUUCAACCAUUGUGAACCUACCACGUUGCUUCGGGGGCACUUCCGAGUCAGAGACUGGGGGGUCCCCCGAGGGUAUAAACUUGACUUUUAAUUGUAUUCUCUGAGUCUUUUACAAUGAAUCAAAACUUUCAACAACGGAUCUCUUGGUUCUGGCAUCGAUGAAGAACGCAGCGAAAUGCGAUAAGUAAUGUGAAUUGCAGAAUUCAGUGAAUCAUCGAAUCUUUGAACGCACAUUGCGCCCGCCAGUAUUCUGGCGGGCAUGCCUGUCCGAGCGUCAUUUCAACCCUCGGGCCCCAGCGGCCCGGUGUUGGGGAUCGGCCCCGCCUUUGCGGCGGUUCGGCCGUCCCCUAAAUAGAGUGGCGGUCACGCCGCAGCAUCCCCUGCGCAGUAGCAAUAUCUCGCAGCCGGAGCGCGGCGCGGCCACGCCGUGAAACCCCAACUCUUCAAUGGUUGACCUCGGAUCAGGUAGGAAUACCCGCUGAACUUAAGCAUAUCAAUAAGCGGAGGA
rnacentral:rRNA from 2 species